GAUGAUUUGUAUGUUAAGCAUUGGGUUAAAAGAUGUUCGCAUGGUAGGCAUAUGCGGAAUUGGUGGAAUAGGCAAGACAAGUCUUGCCAAAGCCAUUUAUAACAAAAUUGCUGAUCAAUUUGAAAGGUGUUGCUUUCUUGACGAUGUUAGAAAAACCUCAGUGCAAACUCUGCAUUAAACCAUUCUUACUGACAUAACAGGAGAUAAAAAUGUAUUGAUGGGUAACUCUGCUGGAGGAAUCAAUAACGUAAAGAAGAUUUUAUGCAGUAACAGGGUUCUUAUUGUUAUUGAUGAU
rnacentral:misc_RNA from 1 species